rnacentral:rRNA from 1 species
UACGUAGGUGGCAAGCGUUGUCCGGAAUUAUUGGGCGUAAAGCGCGCGCAGGCGGUCCUUUAAGUCUGAUGUGAAAGCCCACGGCUCAACCGUGGAAGGUCAUUGGAAACUGGAGGACUUGAGUACAGAAGAGGAAAGCGGAAUUCCACGUGUAGCGGUGAAAUGCGUAGAGAUUUGGAGGAACACCAGUGGCGAAGGCGACUUUCUGGUCUGUAACUGACACUGAGGCGCGAAAGCGUGGGGAGCGAACAGG